rnacentral:rRNA from 1 species
GACGAACGCUGGCGGCGUGCUUAACACAUGCAAGUCGAACGGAAAGGCCCUGCUUUUGUGGGGUGCUCGAGUGGCGAACGGGUGAGUAACACGUGAGUAACCUGCCCUUGACUUUGGGAUAACUUCAGGAAACUGGGGCUAAUACCGGAUAGGAGCUCCUGCUGCAUGGUGGGGGUUGGAAAGUUUCGGCGGUUGGGGAUGGACUCGCGGCUUAUCAGCUUGUUGGUGGGGUAGUGGCUUACCAAGGCUUUGACGGGUAGCCGGCCUGAGAGGGUGACCGGCAAAAUGGGGAGGGGUAGACGCCCCGGACUCCGAGGGGGGGAGGGGGGGGGGAAUGUGGCACAGGGGGCGGAGUCCUGAUGCCGCAACGCCGGGGGGGGGAUGGCGGCCUGCGGUUUGAAACCCCCUUGCGCCUGUGAGGAGGGGGGGGGGAGGGGAAGGGGAAAAGAAGCACCGCCUAACUACGCG